CUUCAGAAGGUGGGUGUCCAGGACCUUCACAAUGAAGCUGAGGGUCAGUCCAUCCAGCUGGGUGCUCAGGUACUGUGGAAGAUUCUCUGGAGCCGUGAAGGUCAGGAGGUCAGCACAGACCGCUGUGCUUCCACCAGAGUGUCUGCUGAGUCAGGAACUGCUGGUAUUUCUUCAUCAUCAUCAUCAACCUGAGGACGAACAAGCCAUUAACAGGGGACUAUCUUAGAUCAGUUUGGACUCAAGAAGGAAACUAGGGGAACCAAGAAAAAAGAUCUAAACUGAAGGAAAAACAGGUUAAAGUCCUUCUGUGAAGUAAGAGCACUGACCAGAUUACUACACAUGCAACACCAGGUCCACAUUGACCUCUUUAGUGGUUUUUACAACAGAUACAACAUGAUAAAGCUCUCUUGUCAUUUCAUAGAACACCGAGCAUAAGGACAUCCAUCACUUCUAUGUGCUGCAGAGCUUGAAGGUUUAAAACCUUCCAAUCGAUGCUGUUGAGCCAGCGAACAGUCACAGACGGGACUAAGCAAUCUGCUGCUGACCCUUUUUAGGGGAAAAGUCUGUGCCAGAAGCUCCAUCUAUUUGUUUGACUUUUAAAAAAUAGCUGCAACCUUGAGAGUUUGUAAACUGCUCAGUCAGAGAGUAAAAAUGUGGCCUUGAAAUCCUGCCUCCAUGUCUCAGACAGUGUGACAGAGCAGAAACAGGACUGUGACUGUACAGCACAUGUGAAGCUACUGCAAAUACUUCCUUGUAUUUAUGUGUCAGUACUGAGAUACAGCGGCAAUUAAUCCAGGAUACUUGUGACUCACCGUUACCAGGAUCAGCUCCAGAUCCUAUGUGAUCCUCGGGGUUUGGCAAUAGUCUGUAUCUAAUAGUCUGUAUCUCAAUGACACUGGAGCAGAGGUUACUCAAGGAGGGCUGUAUGUGGUUUAUAUGUGCCCCACUUAUUUCAGAGAGAGCAGCGCUGUUGUUUGUGCAUAGUAAUAUUUGGCACAGAUUUAUACUAAGAUGGCCAUCCUAAUGUAACCCUAAACAUGUUUUUAUGCUUAAGACUGGCUUUAGUUGGUUUUGCUAUGAUGGGACACAUCAGCAUGUUUCUUGAUCAUCUCUCUUCCCACUAAAAUACUUCACUUCAAAUCAAGUCAUAAACUGAGAACAGUUUAACCCAAACCAUGAAAUCAAAUAAACUGCUGCCACUUUAUUUCUUUCUUACUGUCUGUUAUUAGUAAUGUUUUUUUUAUUUCAUUGACUUUCAAGCCAAAAGAUGAACUCAACAUUACUUCUGCCCAACUGCCCCUUGUUUUGUUCAAUAAAUCACAAAGAUAAAGUUGAGUAUAAUUUCUGUUUCUAUAAAUAACACAGUGCUGUUUUAUUGACUGCCUUUUCCUUCCUAACACCAACCUGCAUC